rnacentral:rRNA from 1 species
GAUGAACGCUGGCGGCGUGCCUAAUACAUGCAAGUCGAACGCACAGCGAAAGGUGCUUGCACCUUUCAAGUGAGUGGCGAACGGGUGAGUAACACGUGGAUAACCUACCUCAAGGUUGGGGAUAACAUUUGGAAACAGAUGCUAAUACCGAAUAAAACUUCGUAUCGCAUGAUACAAGGUUAAAGGCGCUACGGCGUCACCUAGAGAUGGAUCCGCGGUGCANAGUUAGUUGGUGGGGUAAAGGCCUACCAAGACAAUGAUGCAUAGCCGAGUUGAGAGACUGAUCGGCCACAUUGGGACU